rnacentral:lncRNA from 1 species
UUGUUUUCCUCCAAGUUAAGUGUGUCGGAUAGUUGGCGCUAACCACUAAUCUCAAAAAGUCGAGCUGUUAGAAAUAUAUAAUCAAUUCACUUAAAGCGUACAAAUAUAGCGCUGGCGGAUCUCGAUUGUGACUCAGCCUAUCCAGCCUCACGUUCCUUCGAACAUGACUCGGUUCAACCCAGCCUCACGCAAUUUCGAUUAUGACUCGGCUCACAUGGCCUCCCGCCACAGUGCAGGAUGCUGGCCCAUUUAAGCCAACAAAUUGGUCAUUUUGUUGGUUGUAAUAAUACUAAAUAUAAUAAAGUUAAAAAUACAGUAGGUGUAAUUAUAUGCAUUUUAUUUGGGUAAU